GAACGUAUAGCUUAAGUUUUAGAACAUUUGCUAAGUAUUUUAGAACAUAUCAAAGUGACCUAUCAAACUGUUUGUGCUUCUUAUUUACUGUCAAGUAGCACAAUUGUACAAUGGUUGUGUUUUGGAUUAAGUUUAAACUAAAACAGCCGCUUUAGAGGUAUUGAGCUUUAUACAAGUUCCAAAGUCAUAGUUCCUAUACUAAGAAACAUGGACAAAUUUGAUAAUCCUGCAGAUGAUCCUAAGAGAAAAUGGAGAAGAAAUGGGGAGUGUGAAAUUUCAGUUAAAAUACUUAACGAUGCCAUUGGGACAUCAAUGAGCGUGUUUUGGGAUUUUCUCCAUGCUGACAAAGAUGAAAUCUGUGCUAUACCUAUGAUGGGUAUUCACGGAGUUCAGGUCAUUAUGCAGGAUCGUUCAGACACAGACUUGCUAACAGGAAUCCGCUCUAGUCUCCAAAAAGUUUAUAACAAUUUGCAUAUCUUCUGAUUUCUAUUACUAUAUGAAGUCAUAAUUUUUUAGAGUUUGUUGUGGUUUUUGUUACUUGCAGAAAGAUAAGAGGCUGAAAUACCUUGUAAGAAGUUGUAAUUUCUUAGUGAAGAAGUUCAAGAAGCAUCGAGAUCAGGAAUUGAGCCACGAAACACUUGUAGCACAUACAUAACUCCGAUGGGUGUCUAGGGUGUUCGGUAUACCGAAAUCGAGUAGUGAACAACUGUUAUGGUGCCAUAAGAAAUUGAACAAGAUCGAUAUCAUUGGUUUGUAGGUUGGUGACGGAUUGUAUCUCACACUCUAGCAAGAUUUAUGGGGUGGUGCGAAACAAGGCUUGAAGCAGCUCCAAGGUCUGGUUCCCACCACCUGAAGGUCUUAUCUGAUCCAGUUGAACUGCAAUGCGUCGAUGAGCAAAGAAGGUUGUGUGGGUCUUGUGUUUGUGGUGAGAGACUGGAAGGGUGAUGUUCUAUUCACAGAAGUUAGGACAGUUAGGGCCUUUUGGCCUCCGAGAGAAAAAUGGAUGCCAUGGAAAUACGACUUGCAAGACGUUCAGUUUUGUUAGUUAUUUUGUGAUUUUGGGUUGUAUAGUGUGGUAGACUAGCCUUAGUUUUCAUGGUUUGGGCUUUUAGUUUGCUGCAAAGCCAAAAUGUUUUUUAUUUGAGAUUGUACAAACUCACACUUAUGACUUAUGUCCUAUUAAUUUAAUUUUAAGUCUUUUUUGCCCAUGUUCUAAAAA